UGGGGAAUAUUGGACAAUGGGCGCAAGCCUGAUCCAGCCAUGCCGCGUGAGUGAUGAAGGCCCUAGGGUUGUAAAGCUCUUUCACCGGUGAAGAUAAUGACGGUAACCGGAGAAGAAGCCCCGGCUAACUUCGUGCCAGCAGCCGCGGUAAUACGAAGGGGGCUAGCGUUGUUCGGAUUUACUGGGCGUAAAGCGCACGUAGGCGGACUUUUAAGUCAGGGGUGAAAUCCCGGGGCUCAACCCCGGAACUGCCUUUGAUACUGGAAGUCUUGAGUAUGGUAGAGGUGAGUGGAAUUCCGAGUGUAGAGGUGAAAUUCGUAGAUAUUCGGAGGAACACCAGUGGCGAAGGCGGCUCACUGGAUCAUUACUGACGCUGAGGUGCGAAAGCGUGGGGAGCAAACAGG
rnacentral:rRNA from 1 species